rnacentral:rRNA from 1 species
AACUCGACUACAUGAAGCUGGAAUCGCUAGUAAUCGUAGAUCAGCAUGCUACGGUGAAUACGUUCCCGGGUCUUGUACACACCGCCCGUCACACCACGAGAGUUUGUAACACCCGAAGCCGGUGGAGCAACCUUUUAGGAGCUAGCCGUCGAAGGUGGGACAAAUGAUUGGGGUGAAGUCGUAACAAGGUAGCCGUAUCGGAAGGUGCGGCUGGAUCACCUCCUUUCUAAGGAGA